GGAUGUGAGGGUGAUCUGGCUGUGACAUCUGUCACCCCAUUGAUCGCUAGAGUUGAGUCUGCUGAUUGGGCUGGCUAGGCAGGUGUCCCCUUCCUCUGUCACCACUCCACAUGCGUCUCUCCUGAAGCUGUACACUCAGUCGAAGAGGAUGACCAUCCCUGAUAGAGGAGAACUGCUCUUCGGUCAAGGGUAUAUGAAUAGCUGCCCUCCCCUGUUGGAACCUCCAAACAAUCUCUCAAGAAACAAAAAACCUAUUUCUUAUUAUGUCAGGAGUGUUUUAGCUUUUCAGGGAAAAGCAAAUACUCAAUAAACAGAUAAAGUAGGCUAUGUCAUUAUUAUUUUU
ensembl:misc_RNA 7SK 7SK RNA